rnacentral:rRNA from 1 species
GAUGAGCGCUGGCGGCGUGCCUAAUACAUGCAAGUCGAGCGAACAGAUGAGGAGCUUGCUCCUCUGACGUUAGCGGCGGACGGGUGAGUAACACGUGGAUAACCUACCUAUAAGACUGGGAUAACUUCGGGAAACCGGAGCUAAUACCGGAUAAUAUAUUGAACCGCAUGGUUCAAUAGUGAAAGACGGUUUUGCUGUCACUUAUAGAUGGAUCCGCGCCGCAUUAGCUAGUUGGUAAGGUAACGGCUUACCAAGGCAACGAUGCGUAGCCGACCUGAGAGGGUGAUCGGCCACACGGGAACUGAGACACGGUCCAGACUCCUACGGGAGGCAGCAGUAGGGAAUCUUCCGCAAUGGGCGAAAGCCUGACGGAGCAACGCCGCGUGAGUGAUGAAGGUCUUCGGAUCGUAAAACCCUGUUAUUAGGGAAGAACAAAUGUGUAAGUAACUAUGCACGUCUUGACGGUACCUAAUCAGAAAGCCACGGCUAACUACGUG